AGCAUUUCUAACAGCUGUGUGAGAACGCCGAGAUGUAUAGACUAAUAUUUGAUUAGUCUUGUUUUGGAUCGAAAUUAAGUCAGUAGUGAGCGGCUUAAGGUUUACAAGAUAUGUUUUACGAGCUAUUAUGGAAAGGAUCAAGAUGGUUUACCCUGGAAGUGGAUCUUCGCUAUUAGCCAAAGCCUCGGGCAGCAUGUCGAGUCUAUUCCCGAUUUCCGCCGCCAUGUUGGUGUCAGCCAACAGCCAGGUGGCGGCCACACCCACGAUGUUAGCCCACCACUCCAUCACCGGGUCCCAACAACCUGAAACAUUGGAUAAAACACGUUUAAAAUAUUCUACUCCAUAAACAGGUAAUAUUCUACUAGGUAACUCUGGUACACAAGGUAUAUGAGAUACCGACCAGUGUGUUGUGGCGCGUCGGUGGACACGUCGGCGGUGAUCAUCUUGACGAGGUCCAGCACGUCGCGCGUGUUGCUGC